UGUGGAGUGCCUGAUUUAAAGGAAUAUCUUGAUAGGAUAAAUUAUGUAAAUUUAUUUACCUCCAUUA
rnacentral:tRNA from 1 species